ensembl:lncRNA
AAUUACUAUAAAUAUAUAUGUAUAUCAAAAUGAAUUAACUACGUUAUGUAAUCAUAAUGAUAUUUAGUGCUUAAUUUACAGCUUGUAAAUCAAAUCGUAUUUCCUGACUCUCAAAAAGGCUACCGUUGUAUACUGGUGGCAAAGAUGGAAAAGCAACUCGGAAAAGAUUAGGCUUCAACUGGUUCACAGAGUAAGACAUGCCAGGCCUGAUUCACUGUUGUUACCUUAUGUUGGAAUAACUUCAUUAAUUUAAAUGGGAUUACCAGUAGUCAGCUGUGGAAAUGUUUUUCUUUCUUCUGUUAAAAAACAAAACAACAGAUUUAACUGAAGAAAGAGUUUUCUGAAGAUAAGGACUCACCGGUGUUCUAUGAUGUCAAGUUGAUAAGCAUGUUUAAAGAAGGGCAGUGCCAGUCUUAUUUUAGCUACAAAGAUAAUUUUACUACCAUGGGUAGUCCCACUGACCUCAGUUUGAUAAAUUCUGCCCCAGUUCCAAAUCUGAGUUUUUAAAGGCUUUUUUUUUGGAAGAGUUCCCUUAGAGAAAUAAAAUCAUACUUACCUGAAGCCUUUAAAAAAACAUCAUCACAGAGUAAUUUAAGUCUUGAUUUUCAUUUAUUAUUUCAUUUUCUAUUAUGCCAGUCAUUGCUUUUACAGACAUCAAUGUGACAUCUGUGAAAGGAGCCUCUCACAUUUAAAUUUAUUACUGAGGAGAUAUGAGUCUUUUAUUUGUUAAUGGAGUUUCAAAAUUGCUCAUAACUAGACCAGACUAUAAAUGUUCGCUUUUAAAUUCUCCUUUGCACAUUUAUUCAUUCUUGGUAGGUAGUGUGUACGCAAAGCAGUGUGUUACAUGCACGCAACCUGAAUAUAUUUCAUGGAAAUUAAUUUCCAGAUUUAUCAUACUACUGGAAAUAUAUUUUCAAAUAAUAUAUAAUUACAAUAUAAAAACAUUUAUUAAUCAGAUCUAUUUUUUAUAUGAAUAAGAAUUUGGGUAACCAGAAAGAAAAGAAGAAGGGAUUUAAGUGAGAAUAUUAUUAAAAACAUUGUAAAUCCAGGAUUUUUUGGGGGUUUAUAUGGUUUGCGUUUUUUGUUUUGCUGGUGCAAUAUGACACUUCUAUAAUAGUUGUUCUGAUCACAUUUACAUUUACUCCAUUUUGGAAACAUUUGAUUUCCUCUUGUUAUGUUUCUAACCCUACUCCUCCAUUUUAUUCAGCACAAAGGAAAGUGCUACUAUUAUGGCUGUUUAUCUUUUUGUUCAUUUAAAAACGAGAACAAACAAACAUGGUGUUUUUCAAAUGUGAGCUUGAUUCUGUGCAAGCCACAAGUAUACAUGUGAAAUUCAAGUAACUUUCUUUAUUGCAGGGAAUACUUUCUUCGGGUGAAAAUUACUUCAUUUAGUUAACCUGCAUAACAUAGUGUGCAGUUACUGAUUAAAUUUAACAAAUUCAAGUAAAUCUAGAAAGCUGUUUUUGAAAAUCUCGCCAACAUUGCAUGGUGUUUCAUGCCUAAAACUACUGACUGAAAGUUCAUGAAAUAAAGACUGCAUGAUAUGCAAGCCCCCUAAAAAUUGAUUAAAAUGUGGACAUAAGGAAAUAGUUCCAAGCUUGUUAUUUACAAGUGAUAUCCACGUGCAGGCUUUUCUAACAAACCUGGUAGUCAUGCAUCUAGAACAAAUCCAUCUGUACUGUUAUCACUACCUGUGUACAAGUUAAGUCUUCAGAAGAUAGCUUUAGUGAGGGCCUUUGUCUGCUGGGCAGGAAAACUGGGUUAGCAUCUCUUGGUCAACAAGGGUCCUACCCUAUUGUCCAUCAUGUGCCAACCACAGUGCUUCCCAAGUUGACUGACAAACAGCUUAGAUGUUUGUGCAACCAAAUAGGGCAGUCAUCAGUCUAACAUGGAAACUCAAGCCAUCCCCACCUGAUGGAAACUCAGAGCCCUGAGAGCUAUGAGGGGGAAAUUUUUCUCACCUAACUUUGGAGGUGUGCACUUGAGCUAGUCAUCUGAGGUUCCAUUUUAAUCAAUGAGGAGAACAGGGCCCUCGUAGUAUUCACAUAGUGAUGAAUGUCAUCUGACAGAUGUAAUCAUUAACUUUUGGUUGAGAGGAAAUGUGCCAGACCAGCGCUUGAGACAAAAUGACUAACUCAAAUUAUAGAAGCAUAGAAUCAUAGGAUCACAGAAUGGCUUGUGUUGGAAGGGACCUUAAGGUUCGUAAAACUCCAACCCCCUUGCCACAGGCAGGGCCACCAACCUCCAUAUCUAAUACUGGAUCCAGGCAUCUGUUCUUAAUCCUGUGCACUGAUUGUAUCUAGUCAUUGUGCUGAACCUCUGAAAAAGAGAGGAUCCCAUGUGUAAUGCUGGUGUUGAAAUUAAAUGAGUAACAGCAUAAUGUCUGUUCAACAAAAGCUUAGGUGCACGCUAUGCUUUAAUACAUUAGCAUCAGGCUAUCCUACAAUUGCAAAUAGUACACUCAGCAAGUAAUUCAAGUAACUUAAUUGCUCUGGACAAAGCAUUCUGUGUCAGAAGAUGGUUUAUUCUGACACAGGAUUCAGACUGUAUCGCUUUGAAUUUUUGAAAUUUAAGACUCGCUAUCCAUUUUCCAUUUUUAUAGAUACGCUGAGCCUAAUCCAGAGCUCCAUUAAGUUAUUUUUCAAUGCAGAUUCGUAGAGGGUCCAAACAUGGGUCAUAAGUAACAUGCAGAUGCCCUUUAUUCAGAUGUGGUAGAGAUUAUGUGAAACAGCUGAGACUGCGAAGGCGCCUAUAAGAGGGUAUUUACCACAGCAAUUUGCAUGUUAGAGUGACCCUAUGGGACUAUGUCAGCCACCAAAAUAAGGCAGCAUGUAAUGUAGUUUAACAUGCAGUGAAGGCCAGUUACUGCACUUCAGGUAAUGGCAUUGCAAACGGAAGCAUGUUUUCAGUUAUUGUAACUCAGCUGAUUGUAUGGUUCUGCAAGACUCAUCCUGGCAGCUGAGAAUUUCUCUUGUGAACACACAAUACCUGUAACUACCCCUUCACAGGCUCAUUCUAUCUUGGCAUAUGUACUGCACAGAUUGGGAAGGAGGGCUCACUUCUAAUCUAGUCUAAUACAUCUUUUGUAGUAAUGAAAGAAUAUUAAUAAAAAGGCUUUGGUCUAUUGUAUCUUCUAGGAAAAGUAUUAAAAAUUGAGAUACUUAAUUUAUCAUGGCAUUUGUGCAUAGUUGAAGAGUAGUGUAUUCUGUUAAACAGAUUUCUUUUGGAAUGCCCUUGCUCCCUAACUGUAAUUGAUCUUUCCUGAGUAAAUUGCAAAGAUAAUAUUUUUUUCCUUUAUUAACAUUUUUUUUUCUUUAAGUAUUUUUUUUUCUUAAAGAGUAAGAGAGAGAUCUGUUAGGUUGGGCUAACACCAAGUACUACAGUCAUCUUGAAAUCUCUCAGAGAGACAAAUGAAUCAGUACUGAAAAAGGAAAAAAAAAUCUAAAAAGAUUAGAAUAAGGUGAAAGAAAAAAGCUAUCCAUAUUGUGCCAAAGAGUUCUAACAAAAACAAAAGAAACGGCACAAAAACAGUUCCAUGUAUUUAGAGUCCACAAAUAUCUUCUACCAUCAUAUACUGUGCACUGCUCAUUUGUGAAUGCUAUGGUUGUAUAUAGAUCCUCAGAUUAUGGAGUAGGAGAUACUGAGUACAUAACGGAUAUAAAAAAUAUGUGGAUGUGUAUAUAAAGAAUUGUAAAUAUGAUGUAUAUCAUAAUGCCUGAGAUUUUUCAAGCGUACAUAAAUGAAUUACCUGGCUCUCAAUAAUGGUAAUAGGGUUGAUCUUCUCCACUGGCACUUAAAAUCUUAAGCUUCCCAAGCUUCCUUGGUUUGUUGUCUGGAAAUGGAUGACAGCCUCUCUCUUCCUCCCUUCACAGGCAGAAAAAAAAAAGAAAAAGAAAAAGAAAAAAAAG